GACGAACGCUGGCGGCGUGCUUAACACAUGCAAGUCGAACGGAAAGGCCCUGCUUUUGUGGGGUGCUCGAGUGGCGAACGGGUGAGUAACACGUGAGUAACCUGCCCUUGACUUUGGGAUAACUUCAGGAAACUGGGGCUAAUACCGGAUAGGAGCUCCUGCUGCACGGUGGGGGUUGGAAAGUUUCGGCGGUUGGGGAUGGACUCGCGGCUUAUCAGCUUGUUGGUGGGGUAGUGGCUUACCAAGGCUUUGACGGGUAGCCGGCCUGAGAGGGUGACCGGCCACAUUGGGACUGAGAUACGGCCCGGACUCCUACGGGAGGCAGCAGUGGGGAAUAUUGCACAAUGGGCGGAAGCCUGAUGCAGCAACGCCGCGUGCGGGAUGACGGCCUUCGGGUUGUAAACCGCUUUCGCCUGUGACGAAGCGUGAGUGACGGUAAUGGGUAAAGAAGCACCGGCUAACUACGUG
rnacentral:rRNA from 1 species